CCCUUAGAUGUUCUGGGCUGCACGCGCGCUACACUGAUGCGCUCAACGAGUUUAUGACCUUGCCCGGAAGGGUUGGGUAAUCUUUUCAAAACGCAUCGUGAUGGGGAUAGAUUAUUGCAAUUAUUAAUCUUCAACGAGGAAUUCCUAGUAAGCGCGAGUCAUCAGCUCGUGCUGAUUACGUCCCUGCCCUUUGUACACACCGCCCGUCGCACCUACCGAUUGAAUGGUCCGGUGAAAUCUUUGGACCGUGACAUAGUUUUGCUUUCGGGCAAAACGUUGUCGUGGGAAGUUGAUUAAACCUUACCAUUUAGAGGAAGUAAAAGUCGUAACA
rnacentral:rRNA from 1 species